CCCCUUCCUGCGCCUAGCCUGUCACUCUUCUGUCCAGUUUCCUGGGCUUUUGCGGGGGUCUCCACAACUAUUUGUCUUUUUGCAUAGAGAGGAAGGGGGCAGGAGGAGGGGCGGGUGAGGGAGAGGAGAGGAAAGGAAAACACAGUUGUGCCUUCUGGAGAACACUAUUAGGACCCAGACAUCGUGGUUAUGGGUUUGUGAGGUAGUUGCUGUACUUCCUAUAAAUUCCAGUCUCAUUUCACAGCUUAAGCAAAUACGCAUUCGGUGGCUGUAGAAGAGUCAUAGAAUAGACAACCGUAUCCUACAUAAGUAUCAUUACAAUCAUGUAGAGGAAUAAAAGCAUUAACAUAUGGUGAUGUAUGAUAUAGCAGGUGCCCAAUCUGGGACCCCCAAACCUUGUGAAAUUUCAGGCUUUUUCCCCCUCCUUAUUCUAAUGGGUAUUUUAUUUUAUAAAAUCACAGUGAGUGACACAAAGGUCUAGUAAUUGCUGAAACUUAUAGAGUAUUUGCUAGAGGGCAGAGACAAUUCCAAGGAUGUACAACAAAAAGAAAUUGUUGACCUUGUUGGUUUGAAUCUCUGCAAUCAGGUACAGAGCCAAGAAUUAAAACCUUUAGAAACACUCGUAAAUUGGGAUCACAUGUGUUUGUGUAUAAAGCACUCCUAUGCAUUAUUGACACCUUUGUGUCUUAAAUGCAUACACAAAAGGUAUCUUAAAGGUAUGUAUUUAUAAUAUUUAAAAGCGUGUUUUAGAUAUUUAUGCUGCACAAAGCACUUUUAAUUUCGUAUGGCUUUCUGGGUUUGUGUGUAUUAUUUUUCACUUAGUUUUGGUGACUUCUUAAGUCUGUUUUCCAAUCUUCACCCCCACCCCGGCCCCACCACCUUUCUCUUUCCCAAUCUCUCUCUUUCCUUAAAACAAGGCAGCUAAGUUGCCCUUAGUUUCAGACUUGAAAGAUUUAGUAAGCAAAAAUGCUUUAUAACAUUUUCAGUGGGAGUUCUUAACAGAUGUAUUCUUCCUCUUGAGGCUUUCCCUGCUGUUUGAUCUUUCUCUCCAAAGCAAUUCGUUACAAUAUGAUGGGCAAAACCCCAGGCGGGAUAAUUAUGCCGAGUGGACCGGCAGCCAGAACACUGCAUCCAUCCUUCAGGACGAAAGCUGUCACCCUGCAAGGCUGCCCCAGCCAGUGUGGCUGUGGACUACUGAGGGGCCAGGGGAAGGGUAGGAGGGAUGGCUCUUUGGAUCAGGUGUUGAGUCAGAAACUUGUGAUUGGGCUGAGUUUCUUUAGAGACCCUGGAGUAAGCAUUGCCCAUGACCUUUAGGGAACAAAGCAUGGAGUGAGGCCAAAGGGGUAGACAUAUUAUAAAAUCAGGAUGUCAGCUCAAGCAGAAAUUUUGUUUUGUUUUUAGUUAUUUCAAGUUGCCAGUUGCUGGUCUUUCUAGAGUGAAGUAACCAAGUCAACAUAGAAAACUCAGCUCUUCCGGGAAUAAGCCCCAAAUUUGCUCUUUGUAAGGGGACAAACCGGUAUUUGUUCCUCUGGACAGUCAUGUAAAGGGAGUUCUUUUUUUUGGGGGGGGGUGGGUGGUUCCAGGUGAACAAAGGCAGAUAGAAAGUAUUCUCACCUCCCUGUGACAGAGGCUAUCAGAGAGGGUGGCAGGACUCUAUCUCCAGUCUCCAUGCCCCCCACGCCAACUCCCCACCAUGCAUCUGUCUAAGAGCUGAGACAUUGAGAAUUCAGGCCUUAUUCAGUCAAGUCCAUGGUUGGCCAUAGAAGGGGCUUCGGUCAACCAGGACGUCUGACAGUGCACAGAGGAUUUGCGGGGAGUGGAAUCGGGCUGGGGUCCCUUCAGGAACACUACUCUUCCUUCUGCUUUACCACAUCUGACUGUAGUCGUUUUCACUCUCUAACAAAUAGUGGCUUAAAACAAGGUGAAAGUAUUAUGUCAGUUCCAUGGGUUAGGAGUCCAGAUGGGUUAACUGGGUCCUCUGCUCAUGUUCUCACCUGGCUGAAAUCAAGGUGUCAGACAGGGCUGCAGUCUCACCUAAGGUCUUCUUUCAAGUUCACAGCCGAGGCCAAAUUCAGUCCUUACAGGGGUAGAAUUGAGGCCCUCAGUUCCUGGAGGACUUGAACUUUCCCUGCCAGGUGACCUUCUUCACAUCAUGACCAUUUGUGUCUUCAAAGCCAGCAGCAGUGUGUCUCUGAUGACUUUCUCUUUUUCUGACCUGUACACCCCUUUUAAGGCACUUACCUGAUUAGGAAAGGUCCAGAAUGAGCUCCCUUUUGAUGAACUUAAAGUCAUAUAAUUAGGGACCUUAGUUAUAUCUCCAAAAUCCCUUCACUCUUGCCAGAUAAUAUAAUUAACCACAGAAUGAUAUCCUAUCCUAUUCAGAGGUCCUGUGCACUCUUUUUUUUUUUUUGACAUCUUUAUUGGAGUAUAAUUGCUUUACAAUGGUGUGCUAGUUUCUGCUUUAUAACAAAGUGAAUCAGUUAUACAUAUAUCCCCAUAUCCCUUCCCUCUUACGUCGUCUCCCUCCCUCCCACUCCUCUAGGUGGUCACAAAGCACCGAGCUGAUCUCCCUGUGCUAUGCGGCCGCUUCCCACUAGCUAUCUGUUUUACAUUUGGUAGUGUAUAUAUGUCCAUGCCACUCUGUCACUUUGUCCCAGCUUACCCUUCUCCCUCCCUGUAUCCUCAAGUCCAUUCUCUAGUAGGUUACUCUUUUAACUAGAUAUUUCAUUGUACAAAUUUCCUGUCAUUGAUAAUCCCUAAUACAAUGGCCCUUGCUGUGAGUGUUUGCCAUUACUGAUUUUGUUUGUUCACCCCUACUUUUGAUGUUGUAGAACUGGACUAAAGGAGUAGAGAGGUAGUUAGGCAUAAAAGCAAAGAAGGCAUUUGUGUUUAUUUAAUUGUUGAGAAGAAAUAAAAGAUUAUUGUAGGACUCUUUUUUAUUCUUGCUUAUAGUUAAAUGUUAUCUACAGUUUAAAUGUCUUAAGUAGUUAUUCUAAAUGUAAAAUGUUUUCUUAAAAAGACUACAGUUUUGGUAUAAAAUUCUACAAAUUUAAUAUGGAAUUGUAGGAUACUCCAGAUUGAGUCUAGUGUACUGUAUGGUAGAUUUCUAGAUGGUCCCCUCUUUAGAUGCCUUGUUGUACUAAAAUUUGUCCACCUAAUUUCUUUUUCUAUAAUGUCAAGGUUUUUCUUGUACUUUUGGGAUCUUAUGCUAUUUGUAAAACGUUAAUGUCCUGUGUUGGAUUGUUUUGUUUGAUUUCAGACAUUUGCUGAGUAGAUAACAUGGGUGUGUUUCUGCAAGUAUUUAAACCAGGGAUUCAUGCAAAAGCAGAUGUAAUUUCCUCUUGGAAAAGGUACCCAACAUUUGAAAGUUAGAAUCGGAUGCUAAGGUUGAUGUUUGGGGUUAUUACAAUAUAGACUUGUUUUCACACCAGUUAAUAUUUUCUUAGGGUUUUAACUGUUAAGUGAGUAGUUUGCUGCUGUUGAAAUAACAUGGUAUUUGACAAGUAGAUUUAUUUUUCAAGAUGUCUCAGUGAUUUCCUCUUGUACAAUGUAUAUACUUCUGGAUGUAUAGAAAGGAAAGCUACAAUUGAGCCCUUAUAUAAAUGUUAUAAGGUGGGAAUAUGUUCACUAUUGUUUGAAAACUGAUUGUAAGAAUAACCUCAAUUAGGGAGUGUAACUUGAAGUGUCAGUACAGGCUACUGAUUUAACACAUGACCUUAUUCACCUCACCUCCCAUGUUGCCCCCCAGAAUAUAAUCUUUAUUCUCAUUGUGCUAAAAAAUGAAAAGUCUACUGUGGAAUGCAUCUGAUGUCAUUAGCUCUUCAAGUGGAUACCAUUUUACAUAUGACAGCAGAAUUCAGUUUUGAAUUGCUGAAGAAAUUUAAACCCUCCAUAAAAAAGGAAAAAAAACAACCUGCGUUUCAUGGGAAUAUAACAGAAAUAUACUGUAAGAUUAUUUUCAUCAUAAAGGUCUCAUCAGCUUUGCCCAAAAAGCAACUGCUUGACUUGUUUGGUGUUUAUUUUCUGUUUUCGUAUAAAUUUUAUAUAUACAGCUAGAGUACCCAAGGAGACCAGUAAAAACAGUUAAACAGAUAGGGUGUACCCAAGGAAAGAUGAAAGCUGAAGGUAUAUGAGACAAAGAAUUUAUAUCCUGUUUUAAAUGCAUCUAGCGUAUAUUUCUUGUCUCCAGACAAGUUCAUGUUUAUUGUUUUAUUUAUGCUCAAGUGAAGUUGUACAUUGUUGGUAGGCCAUUUUAUAAAUGGUUUGCCUAUGGUACAAGUUGAUUCACGCAGCCUCUGCUCUUCCAUUUAAGAUAGUGUUUGUAAGAGCUGGCCUGAAGCAGCACACUCAACAACUUGACAAGAUUUCUUUUUCCUUUUUGUAGGGGGAAGGGUCACCUGAGAAAAUAAAUUAUUUUCAGGGACUUUGGGAACCUAACGAUAAAUAUUACGUGUAACCUGUGAACAGAUUAAGCCUUUAUAUAUUCAUUAAAGUACUCUGGAAUUCCUCAACCUAACAUCACUCCUGGCCACACUUUCCUUGCCUGUUUUGUUGCUACGUGUGCUUGAAAGUAAUAUCUGCGUUCCUUUGAAGAUGUUCUAUAGGUCAUAUUUGUCAGUUACAGACUAGUCUUCCUUUUUCUCAAGUUCAGUGAAAUCUCACUGAACAGUAAUAAUAGCAAUAGCUAACAUCUGCACAGCACCUUACAGUUUGCAGAAAACGUUCACAUUUUCUCGUUUUUUUUGCAUAGUGAACCUGUUAUGAGAUUUCUCUUGACCUUGAUGCUAAAAGUGUUAGAAUCUUUGAAGUCGCUAGAGUCACUGAAUAUGCUGUAGUCUUGAAUAGCGCCCUGACAAGGGGCAGAUUUUA